rnacentral:rRNA from 1 species
UAGCUUGGGAAUCUGGCUUAUGGAGGGGGAUAACUACGGGAAACUGUAGCUAAUACCGCGUAGUAUCGAGAGAUGAAAGUGCGGGACCGCAAGGCCGCAUGCCAUGAGAUGAGCCCAAGUGGGAUUAGGUAGUUGGUGGGGUAAAGACCUACCAAGCCUGCGAUCUCUAGCUGGUCUGAGAGGAUGGCCAGCCACACUGGAACUGAGACACGGUCCAG